rnacentral:lncRNA from 10 species
UGAUUCCUAGGAAAUUAAAAUUUUAAGGGCUAAUUCCCCUUCAUUCAAGAAAUAUUUACUGUGAUGAAGACAUGUUCCAUGCAGAGGAAAUGGCCAAUGCAAAGAGCCCCUGACUGGAGGGCAUUUGGCACAUUCUAGGAGAGUGAGGAGGAUUCUAUGGGCCAGGAAUUCAGACAGGGCACAGUGUUGAUGGCUUGUCUGUGUCCUGGCUGGGAUGGCUCAAAUGGUUGUGGGACUAUUUGACUUGAAAGGCUGGAGCCUGGAAUCAUUUGAAACAUUGUUCACUCAUGUGUCUGGCACCUGCGUUAGAAUGACUGAAGGCUACAUCAACUAGAGUACUUACAUCCGGUCUCUCCAUGUGACUUGGACUUUUCACAGCGUGGAGGCUGGAUUUCAAAGGCAGGAAGACACCAUAUCAGGAAAAAGAGAGUGAACAACUGAGUCAAUUGCUGCUGAUGGUCAAGUCAGAAGAAGACUUGGAAUUAACAUAAGA